rnacentral:rRNA from 1 species
GAUGAACGCUGGCGGCGUGCCUAAUACAUGCAAGUCGAGCGAACAGACGAGGAGCUUGCUCCUCUGACGUUAGCGGCGGACGGGUGAGUAACACGUGGAUAACCUACCUAUAAGACUGGGAUAACUUCGGGAAACCGGAGCUAAUACCGGAUAAUAUAUUGAACCGCAUGGUUCAAUAGUGAAAGACGGUUUUGCUGUCACUUAUAGAUGGAUCCGCGCCGCAUUAGCUAGUUGGUAAGGUAACGGCUUACCAAGGCAACGAUGCGUAGCCGACAUGAGAGGGUGAUCGGCCACACUGGAACUGGGACACGGUCCAGACUCCUACGGGAGGCAGCAGUAGGGAAUCUUCCGCAAUGGGCGAAAGCCUGACGGAGCAACGCCGCGUGAGUGAUGAAGGUCUUCGGAUCGUAAAACUCUGUUAUUAGGGAAGAACAAAUGUGUAAGUAACUAUGCACGUCUUGACGGUACCUAAUCAGAAAGCCACGGCUAACUACGUG